AAUUACAUGGGAUCUUCAUUUCACAUGCAAAGACCACAAGACGCAAUAAACUGGAUGAGAUGCUACUGAAUUUCUGUCUCAGAAAAGAAGUGGAAUCACAACAAGUUAGAAAACUCAAAUACUUCAAGAUGGCAAUGAACAUUGAUUGAUGCCCGGCCCAUUUGUCAUCAGAUAGCCUUUACCGAACAACUGAUGGAAACAGAUUCAGA